rnacentral:rRNA from 1 species
UACGAAGGGGGCUAGCGUUGUUCGGAUUUACUGGGCGUAAGGCGCACGUAGGCGGAUCUUUAAGUCAGAGGUGAAAUCCCAAGGCUCAACCUUGGAACUGCCUUUGAUACUGGGGAUCUUGAGUCCGGGAGAGGUGAGUGGAACUGCGAGUGUAGAGGUGAAAUUCGUAGAUAUUCGCAAGAACACCAGUGGCGAAGGCGGCUCACUGGCCCGGUACUGACGCUGAGGUGCGAAAGCGUGGGGAGCAAACAGG